rnacentral:rRNA from 1 species
CUCAGAUGAACGCGGGCGGCGUGCCUAAUACAUGCAAGUCGAGCGAACAGACGAGGAGCUUGCUCCUCUGACGUAGCGGCGGACGGGUGAGUAACACGUGGAUAACCUACCUAUAAGACUGGGAUAACUUCGGGAAACCGGAGCUAAUACCGGAUAAUAUAUUGAACCGCAUGGUUCAAUAGUGAAAGACGGUUUUGCUGUCACUUAUAGAUGGAUCCGCGCCGCAUUAGCUAGUUGGUAAGGUAACGGCUUACCAAGGCAACGAUGCGUAGCCGACCUGAGAGGGUGAUCGGCCACACUGGAACUGAGACACGGUCCAGACUCCUACGGGAGGCAGCAGUAGGGAAUCUUCCGCAAUGGGCGAAAGCCUGACGGAGCAACGCCGCGUGAGUGAUGAAGGUCUUCGGAUCGUAAAACUCUGUUAUUAGGGAAGAACAAAUGUGUAAGUAACUAUGCACGUCUUGACGGUACCUAAUCAGAAAGCCACGGCUAACUACGUGCCAGCAGCCGCGGUAAUACGUAGGUGGCAAGCGUUAUCCGGAAUUAUUGGGCGUAAAGCGCGCGUAGGCGGUUUUUUAAGUCUGAUGUGAAAGCCCACGGCUCAACCGUGGAGGGUCAUUGGAAACUGGAAAACUUGAGUGCAGAAGAGGAAAGUGGAAUUCCAUGUGUAGCGGUGAAAUGCGCAGAGAUAUGGAGGAACACCAGUGGCGAAGGCGACUUUCUGGUCUGUAACUGACGCUGAUGUGCGAAAGCGUGGGGAUCAAACAGGAUUAGAUACCCUGGUAGUCCACGCCGUAAACGAUGAGUGCUAAGUGUUAGGGGGUUUCCGCCCCUUAGUGCUGCAGCUAACGCAUUAAGCACUCCGCCUGGAGACACCACUGG